CAAGAGCGUAUAUUAGAGUUGCUGCGGUUAAAAAGCUCGUAGUUGGAUUUCAGUCUAGGAAGGUUAACUCGCCGAAAGGUUGUACGUUGAUUUUCCUCAGACUUCGUCAGAAGCUCGUGCUGCACUUAACUGUGUGGUACGAUGUUCUGACCUUUUACCUUGAGGAAAGUAGAGUGUUUCAGGCAGGCUACCCAGCUUGAAUACAUUAGCAUGGAAUAAUGAAAUGGAUCUCGGUUCGAUUUCGUUGGUUCUAGAGCUGAGGUGAUGAUCAAUAGGAACAGGCGAAGGUAUUCGUACUUGAGAGUGAGGAGUGAAAUCCGAUGAUCUCUUAAAGACGAUCCGAGGCGAAAGCAUUUGUCAAGGAUGUUUUCAUUGA
rnacentral:rRNA from 1 species